AUUGAACGCUGGCGGCAUGCCUUACACAUGCAAGUCGAACGGUAACAGGUCUUCGGAUGCUGACAAGUGGCGAACGGGUGAGUAAUACAUCGGAACGUGCCUAGUAGUGGGGGGUAACUACUCGAAAGAGUGGCUAAUACCGCAUGAGAUCUACGGAUGAAAGCAGGGGAUCGCAAGACCUUGUGCUACUAGAGCGGCCGAUGGAAGAUUAGGUAGUUGGUGGGAUAAAAGCUUACCAAGCCGACGAUCUGUAGCUGGUCUGAGAGGACGAUCAGCCACACGUGGACUGAGACACGGCCCAGACUCCUACGGGAGGCAGCAGUGGGGAAUUUUGGACAAUGGGCGCAAGCCUGAUCCAGCAAUGCCGCGUGCAGGAUGAAGGCCUUCGGGUUGUAAACUGCUUUUGUACGGAACGAAAAGCCCCGGGUUAAUACCCUGGGGUCAUGACGGUACCGUAAGAAUAAGCACCGGCUAACUACGUGCCAGCCGCCGCCGUAA
rnacentral:rRNA from 1 species